rnacentral:misc_RNA from 1 species
UACGGAGGGGACUAGCGUUGUUCGGAAUUACUGGGCGUAAAGCGCGCGUAGGCGGACUAUUAAGUCAGGGGUGAAAUCCCGGGGCUCAACCCCGGAACUGCCCUUGAUACUGGUGGUCUAGAGACCGAGAGAGGUAAGUGGAACUCCUAGUGUAGAGGUGGAAUCCGUAGAUAUUAGGAAGAACACCAGUGGCGAAGGCGGCUCACUGGCUCGAUACUGACGCUGAGGUGCGAAAGCGUGGGGAGCAAACAGG